rnacentral:lncRNA from 1 species
UAAAAACAUGUUUAGUUAAUCAAGGAAGGAAGGAUGAGUUUGCACUCGCACACCUUCCUAUCUUAGAACUAGAAUCUCUCUUCCACCGCACCACUACCCUCACUACUUCCUAUACCUUCUUUCUCCCUCCAUCUUUAAUCUAAUGUGGAGUAACAAACCAAGAACAAUGCAUCAGCAGCAGCAUCCGCUAUGCACACGCAUGCACUAGAUCGACUCCUUGCUCCUAGUUGCCGCCACCUUCUUCCUCACCAGACUCUUGGACGCUCCUUGCAACCUCUCCUCCACCGUGUCGCAACAGAAAUUCCUCGGCC